rnacentral:lncRNA from 12 species
UCUGCAUAUAACCCCAGUGCCAAAAAUCUGGCUAAUUCCGCAUUUCCCCAGGCACAGUCUUCAUGUAGGUGGUACGUAUCCGAGACCCAGCAUCUGGAUGCCUGAGACCAGUGUAUUGCUGUGUGGACAGAUUUCAGCCACUCCAGAUGGGGAUUAUGUUCAGGAAGUGUAGGACCCCUGCAGAGCUUUCAGAAUGAGGGAAGAAAUAAGCGAUACAAAAGAGAUCGACGUCGUCGUGGUCCUGGCAGCAGGGAGAGAGCUUUAUGUUCAUGUUCUUACAGGGUUUGGCUAAACAUUUUGUACAGUUCAUAUGAAAGUGUGAAGCACCGUAAUCCCCCUCCCUGAAGCGAAGCAGAAGUAUUGCAACACAAAGGCUGGCCAUGGGGCUUGGCAGUGGUGCUCUCCAGCACUCAGUUUGGUACAAAGUGCUGUCAUUGCCAUUUGGAAGUAGCUCCCUGUAAUGUGAAAAGGCUACCAGGGAAGUGCUAGCAAUCACAAACACAGCUAUCACAGGACACGGAAGGGCAACCAUGUAGCUUUGCAGGUUGCCAUCACGGCUCCCAUGUACCUCUCUUGUCUCAGGCAGAGUCCAGAGAGGGGAGACAGAGAAGAGGAGGAGGUAGGACCCAGUAAGGCAGUAUUUUCCAGCCAAGCCAGGAAGCUCAGGCUGCUCUUGAUCCGCACUGAGAAGGAUAUUGAAGCAGCAGCCUCUGGUAAGAAGAUACGUUGAAACCAGAGAAGACCUCAUCACAGGGCACACAGCGGAGCAGGACUGCCUAGUAAGGGUAUUCUUGAAAACCAACACCUCCUCCCUUGGCCCACCCGGGGUGUCCUCAGGCCAUCUCCGCCAGUGGAUCAAGUCACACCCUUUGGGCUGCCACCAACUGUGGGACGGCCUGCCCGCUGCUUCUUGGCUGCUCCCAGAUUGGCCACUUUCCUUCUGGGAAUACCACUACAUCCACCAGUCAUGGCAUGCUUGCUUAUGCGAUUGAAAGACCAGACAAUGCCUAGUUUAAUCCAGUGUAAUUUAAUAAAUAUCCAUUAAACACUUAUACA